rnacentral:rRNA from 1 species
GGUCGGGGACAACAGUUGGAAACGACUGCUAAUACCGGAUGUGCCGGAAGGUGAAAGAUUAAUUGCCUAGAGAUGAGCUCGCGUCUGAUUAGCUAGUAGGUGUGGUAAGAGCGCACCUAGGCGACGAUCAGUAGCUGGUCUGAGAGGAUGAUCAGCCACACUGGGACUGAGACACGGCCCAGACUCCUACGGGAGGCAGCAGUGGGGAAUUUUCCGCAAUGGGCGAAAGCCUGACGGAGCAAUACCGCGUGAGGGAGGAAGGCUCUUGGGUCGUAAACCUCUUUUCUCAGGGAAGAAAAAAAUGACGGUACCUGAGGAAUAAGCAUCGGCUAACUCCGUGCCAGCAGCCGCGGUAAUACGGAGGAUGCAAGCGUUAUCCGGAAUGAUUGGGCGUAAAGCGUCCGCAGGUGGCUAUGUAAGUCUGCUGUUAAAGAAUUACGCUCAACGUAAUCAAAGCAGUGGAAACUACAUGGCUAGAGUGCGUUCGGGGCAGAGGGAAUUCCUGGUGUAGCGGUGAAAUGCGUAGAGAUCAGGAAGAACACCGGUGGCGAAAGCGCUCUGCUAGGCCGCAACUGACACUGAGGGACGAAAGCUAGGGG